rnacentral:rRNA from 1 species
CCUACGGGAGGCAGCAGUGAGGAAUAUUGGUCAAUGGGCGCAAGCCUGAACCAGCCAAGUCGCGUGAAGGAUGACUGCCCUACGGGUUGUAAACUUCUUUUAUAAGGGAAUAAAGUGAGGCACGUGUGCCUUUUUGUAUGUACUUUAUGAAUAAGGAUCGGCUAACUCCGUGCCAGCAGCCGCGGUAAUACGGAGGAUCCGAGCGUUCUCCGGAUUUAUUGGGUUUAAAGGGAGCGUAGAUGGGUUGUUAAGUCAGUUGUGAAAGUUUGCGGCUCAACCGUAAAAUUGCAAUUGAUACUGGAAGUCUUGAGUACAGUUGAGGUAGGCGGAAUUCGUGGUGUAGCGGUGAAAUGCGUAGAUAUCACGAAGAACUCCGAUUGCGAAGGCAGCUUACUAAACUGCAACUGACAUUGAUGCUCGAAAGUGUGGGUAGCAAACAGGAUUAGAUACCCUGGUAGUC